AGGAGAAGACUUUAGUUUCUCGUUUUCUUAUGGUCUGAUCCGUAAGAAGAACAUUAAAGGAAAGAACGAAACAACCCAGAGCCUUCCAAAACGGGACUCCUCUCGUUUCUGUCUCAAGAAGCCAAAAUACGACGUUACGAAUACAUGAACCGUUUUCUCUACCGAGACGGAAGUCCUUUGAAUCCACGGAGGUGGUUCUCAUCCGUGGCAUGAGGAAUCAUCAGUGCUGUUUCAGGGUUGCUGGGCAGAAACACACACACACACGCUUUGUGAAUCAAAAGGAGCACUUUACGGACGAUUUGAACUGCGAUUCGGAGGCACAUUGCCGUGUACCCGAAAAUGUCGUUAACUUACAGGAAUGCUGUUCUGCUUUGCCUCCCUCACCGCCCGCCCGUUGGCUGAUACGUCGUCUGUCGAGUUGCGUUUUUUUUUUAAGAAAAAUAAUAAAUUGCACUACAAGUGUGUAUGAGUGUUUGUGCAUAUAUAUAUUAAUACAUAUUCCUGCAGUUAAUAUGUAUUGAUAUGUAUAUGAAAUAAUGUGUAGUGUAAACUGUUAUGUAUUUUAUCUGUACUGUACCUUAUGCUUUGAGGAGGACUAAGAAAGAGAAGUCGGUUUUAAGCUCGGAAGUCUUGAAUACCACGAAUUAUUUCCUCUGCAUUCUGACGUUUCCUUUUUUAUUCUCACCUUCCCCCCACCCUAAUUUUUCGCAAACGAAUACAUCCUUUUCGAUGCUCCCUGCUUUUGAAAUGCUUGAGGCAAAACCCGGACAUUGCAAACCUUUGCAAGCGAAGGCUGCCCUUUCCUUAGCUGUUUCGGUUUUUACGAAACAAGUCCAAUUUUUUUGCACCCCCGUUUGACUGUUUUUCAGCAUUUCCAGUCACCCCCCCUCACCUCCCAUUUUUUCAGGCACCUAUGUAGCCAAAAAAAAGAGAGAGAGAGGUUGGAGUUGUAUGUUGCGUGUUGCCGUAGGUUCUUGCGUGCCUGCGUGCGUAUGUGUGUUGGACUACAUUUGAAUUGAGUGUGUGUGGUAGUUUUACGACAUCACGAGGUUGGUUGGUGGUGAUGCUUUUGGUUUUUGUGUGUGUGGUUUUUACAGAACGGAUCACCUGUUAAGCAGUAUUUUUGUUUUCCUGUGUUAGACUAGGAAGCACCUUUAGCAAACAAAGCCUGAAUUUCAGGGGUAGUUGAGUUGAAUGGUUGGUUUUAAAAGAGUGGGUCAAAUAUAUUUUAUUUGGUCUGCAUUGCUUCGCUUUCCAGCUUGUUGGCUGUCUCCCCCCCCUCACUCUCCUUUUAAAAAAAUAUGCAACGAACAAUCUCACAGACUUGAACGGCAGUUAAGUAGCUUCUGGUCGUAGGUGGUCCUCGUCCCUUCGUUACCUAUAAUUAGAAAAUCCAAUGGGAUCCAUAAGCGAGACCAGCUCUUUGGAAAUCAUUUGUUUGUUGCAUCUUUUCUUUCCCAGCUUGCUCCUGGGGCAACUUUUUUUGUGCUCGAACGAUAGUAAAAAAAGAGAGAUUCUGUU
rnacentral:lncRNA from 1 species